rnacentral:tRNA from 1 species
AAAAGUUCUAAGAGCAU